rnacentral:rRNA from 1 species
UAGGGAAUCUUCCGCAAUGGACGCAAGUCUGACGGAGCAACGCCGCGUGAGUGAAGAAGGAUUUCGGUUCGUAAAACUCUGUUGUUAGAGAAGAACAGCGCAUAGAGUAACUGUUAUGCGUGUGACGGUAUCUAACCAGAAAGCCACGGCUAACUACGUGCCGGCAGCCGCGGUAAUACGUAGGUGGCAAGCGUUGUCCGGAUUUAUUGGGCGUAAAGCGAGCGCAGGCGGUCAAUUAAGUCUGAUGUGAAAGCCCCCGGCUCAACCGGGGAGGGUCAUUGGAAACUGGUUGACUUGAGUGCAGAAGAGGAGAGUGGAAUUCCAUGUGUAGCGGUGAAAUGCGUAGAUAUAUGGAGGAACACCAGUGGCGAAGGCGACUCUCUGGUCUGUAACUGACGCUGAGGUUCGAAAGCGUGGGUAGCAAACAGG